GUGGCAUUCGGCCGUCAUAGCAGCUGCUCAUAGGCACCGCUGUGCUGCUGCAGGAUGCCCUGGUCCUGCCCAUCCCAACAUCGUCCUCACCGCAAUCGGUCACCCAGAUUGAGGCUCCAGCGGUGGAAGUAGUAGGAGCACAUUCUCCAAGCCGAUUGGGAUUCUCCAAGCCUGGUUCUCGGUGUACCAUCCUCCUGAUGUUCCGCUGGCCGAUCCUCUGUUGAAACCGUCGCCGUGAACGACCGCUCUCCCCCGCGUGCAGCAAUCUCCAGGCUCCAGGUCAAACGUGAAGCUGAAACGUCUCCUUGCGUUUCACGUUGGCCGUCCACUGCAACUCAAGUGGGGGCCCGGCUGGCCCUUCAAUCUGCUAGGGUUGCAGCGUGAAUGAUGAUCCUUCAUCCAGAAAUUGCGUGCGUGCCUCGCACUCGCUUGUUCAACGCUUGCACAACCCGGGACACGACACAGGAGAAUCUCGAUCGACAAGGCUUUGUUACGUGGUUUGCGGCACAGCUUCAUCUGCGUUACAGUCUCAACACGUUCCAUGGGAGACAUGCGCUUCGCAUCAUUCUCUUAGCGUAUGAUCCGUGUUCGAUCGAACGAAGGUAGGGAGUUUCAAUUUGCGAUGGCGAGAAACCCGAUCGCGCACGAAUCGCAGGUCAUUCGCUUCCUCAAACACGAACCAUCUGAAUUUAGCAUCAUCUAUCGGUUCUGUUUUGUAUUUCCCAAUCAACUCUGGGGCUGUUUGGGACCCAUAACCUUUCUCCAUUUCGUGAUUGUUCUGCAGUUUGUGGCAACCGUUCUUCCGUCAGUUCCUUGAAUGCCUGUUUGGCACUUUCAAUGAAGGCUUCUGUAAUCCAAUCUGUGUGUGAUGAUAUGUGAGAAAGAAAGCUGCCCGCUUUUGCAGAACAGUGAUGGAAUAGGACUGGACUAUA